rnacentral:tRNA from 1 species
CUUUGGCACAGUAGGUAGCGCAUCAGUCUUGCAAGCUGAAGGUCCCAAGUUAGAUCCAUGGAAG